UUUUAGCCCGGAUUGCAGUGAAAAUCCUUUUGUCCCGAUUUUUAUCGGGGCAAAAGAUUGCAACGAAAAGCCGGAAUAGCU
rnacentral:sRNA from 1 species